rnacentral:rRNA from 1 species
CCGGCGACCGGCGCACGGGUGCGUAACGCGUAUGCAACCUACCUUUAACAGGGGGAUAACACUGAGAAAUUGGUACUAAUACCCCAUAAUAUCAUAGAAGGCAUCUUUUAUGGUUGAAAAUUCCGAUGGUUAGAGAUGGGCAUGCGUUGUAUUAGCUAGUUGGUGGGGUAACGGCUCACCAAGGCGACGAUACAUAGGGGGACUGAGAGGUUAACCCCCCACAUUGGUACUGAGACACGGACCAA